CUCGCCUGCAUGAAGUCGGAAUUGCUAGUAAUCGCGGAUCAGCAUGCCGCGGUGAAUACGUUCUCGGGCCUUGUACACACCGCCCGUCACACCAUGGGAGUCGGUAACACCCGAAGUCUGUAGCCUGACGCAAGAGGGCGCAGCCGAAGGUGGGAUUGAUGACUGGGGUGAAGUCGUAACAAGGUAAC
rnacentral:rRNA from 1 species